UACGUAGGGGGCGAGCGUUGUCCGAAGUUACUGGGCGUAAAGCGCACGCAGGCGGUCUGCUAAGUUUGGAGUGACAGUUGGUGGCUUAACUGCCAAAGUGCUUCGAAAACUGACAGACUUGAGGGCUACAGAGGGACACGGAAUUCCGGGUGGAGUGGUGAAAUGCGUAGAGAUCCGGAGGAACACCAAAGGCGAAGGCAGUGUCCUGGGGAGUACCUGACGCUCAGGUGCGAAAGCCAGGGGAGCGAACGGG
rnacentral:rRNA from 1 species